GCACCUUGGCAUGAUAGCAAAGCAGACCCAGGCCUCCUCCCUGUACCUGAGUUCUGAAGCCUGGCCCCAGAUGUUUGCUCACUGAAGGCUGCUCGAACCCCGACACUAGUAAGAAAGGGAAUUUUCUUCGCUCCAGGCUUACCGAGUUGGGUGGGGAAUCCCUUUUAGGGUAGUGGUGUGAGCUAAGGCAAAGAUCCUUAGAACUUGGAACCUAGAGGUGCAGAGGCAGCCCCACCUCAGACUUGGCUCAGUCUCUCGCCCGCCCGUUAAAAUGAGGAUCACCCUAUGGCUCACGUAAGGCAAGAGGCCGCUGAGUCGGUAAAUCAGGGAGCCCACCCACUAGAAGUAAGUGCUAAAACGCUCGGCCCCGCGACGUUUAUCCGAGGAGAACGUCCCCAUUGUGUGCGGGGCGAAGGAGGCCCCGACACUUCCCUCAGAGUCAAGAGAAGUCUGUUUGGAUUGGCUGAAAGGCUUGCUCAUGCCCUCUGAAUCCGGUCCAAAACGAGCCAGCUAGUCGGAGCCGGUAAAGGCGAUCGAUAAGGGAGUGCCGAGGCUCUCUCCUCCCCCACAGAGGAAGGAAGGGGCGGAAGAGCCCCGGGCUUCAGCCUCAGGCGCCUCUUCACCACUAAUCCCAUCUCCACUCCCUUAGUCUGGGAGAGGAGGUUGGGAGCCUUUAGACUUUCCCCUCCCCGGACUGGGCUGACGGAGAUCCCAAACUCGCAAAUACCCGGGGGAGCAGUUUGAGAACGCCAGCAAAAGGGGCUCGAGUCCACUCUGUUCUUGGGAGAAUAUUGCAUGGGGGAGCGUUCACAGGCUCGAGAGGCUUUUAAAAAAUCGGUUAUGAAGACAUCAUGAAAUGCUGCUUUCUUUUAUUUUUUUAUUUGAAGAAUUUUAAUGAAUUAAUUUAGACUAUUUCCCCUGGUUACAUGAUUCAUGUUCUCCCCCUCCCCCCUUCCCGUAGCCAACGGGCAAUUCCACUGGAACCCAGAUCUUCAGGAUUCUGAAUUCAGCUCUGCACUCUCUCGCCCUCUUACUGACUACGGAGUACAAUUCAAAUUCCUCCACUUUGAGGAGCUCGACAUUUUCAACCUUAUUUCAUACUCUACCCUCUGGGCUCCAGUCCACAGUAGUUAUCAUCUCCAAUCCCCGAAGCAAGCCCUGCCUUUCCCUGCCCCCCCCCGCCCCCUCCCCCCCUUGUGUGUGUGUGUGGGGGGAGGGGUCUUUGAGCUACUCCUUUUUGGGGGUGGGAUGCAGAUCUGGCUGGACUCUCCUGCCCUUGGUCAGACAGGGAGUAAGUAAGCAAGAGAAUCAUCAGACUCCAAAUCCAAGCAUCCUCCCACUAAACCACAUGUCUACGUCUCCAUUUGCCCUUCGCUUGCCUCAGUUCUCACUUGAAACAUGAGUUGACUACCAUGGGGGGAGUAUUUUAAAGUGCUUGAUAAAAGGCAUAAAUAAGGUCCUAAAACCACAGAACUGGGAAUUUGGGGACAACCUCAGAGAUCAAUUAGUCUGAGUCAGCUUUAUGUUAGAUAUAAGGAAAUUGGGACCUGGAGAAGGAAAAUGACUGAUCCAGGGCCAUACAGUGAGUGAACAUAAAAGCUGGUCCUAGAACCUAGCUUAUCUCACAGGGGCUGUCGAGAGGCUCUUAGGAUAUAAUGAAUAGAAAGUACUUUGGAUGAUCGAGAUAAGCUAUGAUGAGGAUGAUUCUCUAAUAGUAUUUUAAUAUUACCAUUAUUAUAGUAUUGAUCAUGACUAGCUCAAAGGGAUCUCAGUUAUUUAGUUCAACCUCCUCUUUUUUGUAGGGGAGGCCCAGGCAAGUUAAGUUACUUGUCCAAGGUCACUCAGCAAAGUGGUGGGAAGAAACCUUCUGUGCGUCCCCAUCCAGCCCUCCAUCUUCGCCUCCUAGCCCCACCUCCAGAUUUAAAGCUAGAAGGGACUGAAUGCAGCCCCCUAUUUUAUAGAGGAGGAGACUGAGGCCCAGAGAGAGGAAAUGACUUAUCCAAGGCCACACAGAAAUCAGAGGUAGAGAGCUAGAAGGGCCCUCCAAGGCUACCUAAUUCAUCUCUCCCAUUUUCUGGGCAAGGAAGCUGAAUCAUGUUUUGUUUCCACUGGAUCUCUUGAAGGGAUUUCUUUCCUGUAUCUGUGGAAGCCCGGGAACUUCUUGGGGAUGGGGAGUGGGGUGGGACAUCUCUCUGCUGCCUCCUGCCUCAUCUGUCUUUGUUUCAUGGUGUCUGGGAAGCUGACUCCCCCACACGGGCUUGUCAAGAGGACUAGCUUGCCAGCUAGCAGGGAGACAGUG
rnacentral:lncRNA from 1 species